rnacentral:rRNA from 1 species
GAUGAACGCUGGCGGCGUGCUUAACACAUGCAAGUCGAACGGUGAAGGCGGAGCUUGCUCUGCUGGAUCAGUGGCGAACGGGUGAGUAACACGUGAGCAAUCUGCCCCUGACUCUGGGAUAAGCGCUGGAAACGGCGUCUAAUACUGGAUACGAGCUGCGAAGGCAUCUUCAGCAGCUGGAAAGAACUUCGGUCAGGGAUGAGCUCGCGGCCUAUCAGCUUGUUGGUGAGGUAACGGCUCACCAAGGCGUCGACGGGUAGCCGGCCUGAGAGGGUGACCGGCAACAGGGGGAAAGAGAUACGGACCAGAGACAUAAGGGAGGCAGAAGGGGGGAAGAUGGAAGAAGGGGCGGAAGCCUGAUGCAGCAAGGAAGCGGGAGGGAGGAAGGCCUGCGGGAUGUAAACAGAAUGCGCCGGGGAAGAAGCGGGAGGGAAGGUAAUGGGUAAAGAAGAACCGGAUAACUAAGUG